rnacentral:rRNA from 1 species
AUUGAACGCUGGCGGCAGGCUUAACACAUGCAAGUCGAGCGGGGUGAUGGUGCUUGCGCUAUCACUUAGCGGCGGACGGGUGAGUAAUGCUUAGGAAUCUGCCUAUUAGUGGGGGACAACAUCUCGAAAGGGAUGCUAAUACCGCAUACGUCCUACGGGAGAAAGCAGGGGAUCACUUGUGACCUUGCGCUAAUAGAUGAGGCUAAGUCGGAUUAGCUAGUUGGUGGGGUAAAGGCCUACCAAGGCGACGAGCUGUAGCGGGUCUGAGAGGAUGAUCCGCCACACUGGGACUGAGACACGGCCCAGACUCCUACGGGAGGCAGCAGUGGGGAAUAUUGGACAAUGGGGGGAACCCUGAUCCAGCCAUGCCGCGUGUGUGAAGAAGGCCUUAUGGUUGUAAAGCACUUUAAGCGAGGAGGAGGCUCUUUUGGUUAAUACCCAAGAUGAGUGGACGUUACUCGCAGAAUAAGCACCGGCUAACUCUGUGCCAGCCGCCGCAGUAA